UGCCAGACUCCUACGGGAGGCAGCAGUGGGGAAUAUUGCACAAUGGGGGAAACCCUGAUGCAGCGACGCCGCGUGAGUGAAGAAGUAAUUCGUUAUGUAAAGCUCUAUCAGCAGGGAAGAAAAUGACGGUACCUGAGUAAGAAGCCCCGGCUAACUACGUGCCAGCAGCCGCGGUAAUACGUAGGGGGCAAGCGUUAUCCGGAUUUACUGGGUGUAAAGGGAGCGUAGACGGCAAUACAAGUCGGAAGUGAAAUACCCGGGCUCAACCUGGGAACUGCUUUGGAAACUGUAUGGCUAGAGUGCUGGAGAGGUAAGCGGAAUUCCUAGUGUAGCGGUGAAAUGCGUAGAUAUUAGGAGGAACACCAGUGGCGAAGGCGGCUUACUGGACAGUAACUGACGUUGAGGCUCGAAAGCGUGGGGAGCAAACAGGAUUAGAUACCCGAGUAA
rnacentral:rRNA from 1 species